CAAUCAAAACUUUCAACAACGGAUCUCUUGGUUCUGGCAUCGAUGAAGAACGCAGCGAAAUGCGAUAAGUAAUGUGAAUUGCAGAAUUCAGUGAAUCAUCGAAUCUUUGAACGCACAUUGCGCCCCUUGGUAUUCCGGGGGGCAUGCCUGUUCGAGCGUCAUU
rnacentral:rRNA from 1 species